CGUGGAGAGGAACAAUUCUGAGUCU
rnacentral:piRNA from 2 species